rnacentral:lncRNA from 1 species
UUAAAUUAGAGUUUUUGAAAAGAAAGAAAAAAUCAGUUUGAGAAGUUAAAUGAGAAAGUUUCUGAAAAAAUUCAGAUGCAGAAGUUAAUUUCAACUUAUGCUCUAAGCUAUUGUUCAAAAAGUCCUGGUUAUUGUAAGAUUAUGAAGCACCAGCACAAACACGGAUACCAGACACGACAUUGAAUAUAAGAAAAUGAAAGUGAUUGUAUUGUAUGUAACCACAUGUGUCAGUGACAUCAUGUCAGGGUUGAACAUCAAACACACCGUCAAUGAGGUGUCGAAGCAACAUAGCAAACAACCACUAAAAUUCAACAGCCAGAAUAAUCUACAAUAGAAACAUAAAUUAAGGGAAUCAAAAGUGCACAUUGCAAGGCCACAUUUAAAAGGGAUGAGUUUAUAUUGGACAAACAACUGUUCAGAAUCAUGAACAGAUAUAUGCUGAUUAGUGAUACCGACGAUUUUGAAAAUUGAGGAAUGAGCUAAGCAUAGUUAUAAAUUGCGGAUUGCGGACGAUAUAAAAGUUUUAGAGGCCUCCAUUACGCCAUCAAAAUCGCAGCUGUAUUUAUCCUCAAUAUCAAGAUUUGCAGCAUAACCGUGACCACAGCCACAAUUUAGAAUCAUGGAGAAGACAACUUAUCAUAGUAAGCUUUAAAAAAAAAAACUUAAAUGCUCUAUGAUAUGCUUCUAUCACAAGGGAAAAUGGACUAGUCUUACCCCUCCUCAGACAGGUACAUUACUCCACAAGUCACCCUCCUGAGCUUAGAAGAUGAAUGCAGCUCAGUUGUCGAGAAAAGAGAGAAAAAAAAAAACUCAUGAUAUUCUAUCACC